AUUGAAGGACGCUGUUGCUGGUGGGUAAACAAGGGAUGCAUUUACACCCGCGAUAGGAAAGUUCAAAGGAAGAAAGUUAAAAACAUCAACAUGAUUGUUUUAGUGAAAAUACAGAAAGCCCUGGGGAUGCUGUCAAGAUUUGGCAUAAUCCAUACCAACAGCCAUCAAAGCACCACAAAACUGACAUUUCUUGUGAUAUACAUUAUAAGAAAGGCACAGGGAACUCCAGACUCUGUGUAGCCGUGCCAUAGUUGUGACAUAAAUUAGACCAUCUGCAAAUGAUCCCCAUCAUAACAUAAAAGUGGCCUCAAGGAACAUGGUUUGAAGAUCUAUCAGCAAUGUAGGUUUAUUAAGGCACUGUACUGACAAACAGUAGAAACCUUAGAAUAUUGUGAUUUAUUCAACUUAAUGCUCAUGUUGUCUUUGAAUUUUAAAGCUUCCCUUUUCAAUUUUGAUAGUUUGAACUAUAAUUUAAUAUAAAUCUGAUGCAGAGCAUUUAUUUCUAUUAUUCUAGGUGAAUAUAGGGAGUUUUUUAAAUUUUUAAAUGUUACAAUGGCUGUGGAAUUAAGGAAGCACAACCUUCCAUUGACAUGUGGUCAUCAAUGUUUGUUGUAUUUUUACACAGUUAUGCUGUGCUGAAGUAAACGUCUAUGUGAAAUUUACUGGGACUAAUGCUGUAAUACUUCUUUCAGCUGUUCUAACUCUUUAAACUUAAUAA